rnacentral:misc_RNA from 1 species
UGGGGCGACGAGCCUUGGCUGCC